GAGAGAGAGAGCCACACAGGUCUAUACACAGUCCUCUCUUUAAAUAAAGGCUGGGCCCAGCCUCAAAGGCUUGCUUACCCCACUGAGAAAUCCCACUCCCCCUCUCGAAGCCCCCAAGUCUACCCUGCUCUGCCAGGAGCAGCCCUGAUCCGAGUUCUCACCCAGGACUGACAGCUAAGAUGCUGUUGGAGGUUGAGGACAGGAUGAAAGGAGGCAGCAGGAGCAGGUGGCAGGGGCUCUACCGACUUCCUGAAUGGAAGUUUCAUGCUUCCAACUUCCGCUAGGGGCAGUGCUGCCCGACCACUCAGAGAAGUGCGCUUUCAACAGGUGCAGAGCAGCAGUGGGGCUUAGAAGGGACUAGUAUCUGGAAGGUCAGUGUCAAGACACCCUGAUGAAGAAAGGACCAGCUGAAGUUUGCACAGAAGAAUCUUGGGUCUGGGGAUGAUGGCUGAGUUCUCUGGAGCCUCAGGAGUCUUGGAUGAGAGUGCAGGGAGGACUGGAUACAUAAUUUAUAGAGUCCAGUGCAAAAGGAAAAUGUGGGCUCCGUGCUAAAAAUUAUUAGAGUUUCACGACAUGAAGUUAUGAUUUUCCAACACAGUUCAGGGUCGCUGGGAAGCACAGACUCCUGGGUCUUGCACGACCGUCUUAUAUCCUUUGACCCACUUAACACUUAUGAUAAACUAACUUCAUAUGCACCCACUUCAAAGGUGAUGUUCUUGAUGCACAAAGGGAGUUGAUGACCCAAGCAAGGGUUGCAACAAGGACAGCCCCGGGGAUGUCUUAACCAGCUUCUUAGGAUUCUGGACACUCCCUUGCAGCCGCUACUUAGGACGAGAUGCCACCUCAAGUAGCAGCAACCUGGAACAAUGGAGCUGAGAGGUCUGUGUGACUUAUGUGAAGGACGGAGUGGAUAUUAAGGGAAGAGCUCUGUGUCUGGCUGCACCUGAAUGCGCAGCACUCCAGGAAGGGCUUUCUGCUCUCUGUGUAUAGAGACGCCUGUGUAGGCAUGCCUGCUGACUCUGACAAGAGCUACUGAGAAAGGAUACGAGAAGGAACCCAUUGAGCAGUUAGCUGAGGAGGCUUGGGAAAGGCAGUUUGGGUGUUUCUGUACUUGGAUGAAGCCCUCCCUUUUACCGUUGGUUGCAGAUAAGGGUUCAAGAAUCCACACUGUAUAGGCCUGAUAACAAAGUCCCCUUCAAACCAUGCCAACUCUCUCCCUGUGCCUAGCGUCUUGUUCUACAUAGCUAAAAUCCACUGGUAGUCAUCUCCAUAUCACCUAUUGCCAGGUGGCAAAGACAUUCUAAUGUCUCAGGGACUUCUAAGGUGGUCCUUCCACAGUGCUGACUCAGGUCCAGCUACUCCUGAGUAAUGCAGUCACCUCUGCUUCCCUUGUAAGUCUGAGACCAGGAACUAAAAUAGUCUCAGCUCACCCUACCCCUGUCUCUCUGUGUUUGCCUCUUUACUCGAUUUGCUCCUCUUUAUGGAUUUUAAUCGUUGGAUCCCAAGUAUAUGCAUUGCCUCCAAGCUUAAUGCCCUCUCCUGGACUUUUCCUCUUCUCCCCUCCUCUUCCCCCUGCCCUCCUCUUCUCUUCCUUCCCCUCCCAUCUCCUCUCCUCUCCCUCCCCCUCCCUGCCUUUCAUGCUGUGCUUUCUUUUACUCAGGAGAAAGACGCCCAUCCUGUGUUAGAGUCCUGCUGAUUACUGGAGACUGUUGAGCCAACCUACUAAAGAAGCAUCCGGCAUGGACAGCUGGACAAGAAAACAAACCCCAAAUCUGAGCCAAUUAUGUGUGUAAAUAAAACAGCACCGGACACAGCAU
ensembl:lncRNA